rnacentral:rRNA from 1 species
AUUGAACGCUGGCGGCAUGCCUUACACAUGCAAGUCGAACGGCAGCACGGGAGCAAUCCUGGUGGCGAGUGGCGAACGGGUGAGUAAUAUAUCGGAAGGUGCCCAGUCGUGGGGGAUAACGCAGCGAAAGCUGUGCAAUACCGCAUACGAUCUAUGGAUGAAAGCGGGGGAUCGCAAGACCUCGCGCGAUUGGAGCGGCCGAUAUCAGAUUAGCUAGUUGGUGAGGUAAAGGCUCACCAAGGCGACGAUCUGUAGCUGGUCUGAGAGGACGACCAGCCACACUUGAACUGAGACACGGUCCAGACUCCUACGGGAGGCAGCAGUGGGGAAUUUUGGACAAUGGGCGAAAGCCUGAUCCAGCAAUGCCGCGUGCAGGAUGAAGGCCUUCGGGUUGUAAACUGCUUUUGUACGGAACGAAACGGUGAGCUCUAAUACAGUUUGCUAAUGACGGUACCGUAAGAAUAAGCACCGGCUAACUACGUGCCAGCCGCCGCCGUAA